rnacentral:piRNA from 1 species
CACACAACUUGAUGGGGAAUUUGUGUUAGU